GCUGUUUUUUGCCCACUUAUGAAAAAUGAAAAAAGUCGCCAAAAAUGGACGAAAAGUUAAGGGUAUAGCCUUACUUUUUUGCUGUUUUUUGCCCACUUAUGAAAAAUGAAAAAAGUCGCCAAAAAUGGACGAAAAGUAAAGGGUAUAGCCUUACUUUCUUGCUGUUUUUUGCCCACUUAUGAAAAAUGGAAAAAGUUGCUAAAAAUGGAUG